AAAAUAUUUUUUUGAUUAAAAAAUGAUGUGGCUUCCAGUUCCAGGAUGGAUAGUGGAUGGAUGCUGAGUUCUGCACAUUUUGAGUCAGCAGAGGCCAGUCAUCACCCCAGUGGGGCAUGCUGCUCUGUCCUCUCACAGAGAUGUGUGUGUGUGUGUGUGUGUGCUGCUCUGUCCUCUCACAGAGAUGUGUGUGUGUGUGUGUGUGUGUGUGUGUGUGUGUGUGUGUGUGCUGCUCUGUCCUCUCACAUAGAUGUAUGUGUGUGUGUGUGUGUGUGCUGCUCUGUCCUCUCACAGAGAUGUGUGUGUGUGUGUGUGUGUGCUGCUCUUUCCUCUCACAGAGAUGUGUGUGUGUGUGUGUGUGCUGCUCUGUCCUCUCACAGAGAUGUGUGUGUGUGUGUGUGUGUGUGUGUGUGUGUGUGUGUGUGUGUGCUGCUCUGUCCUCUCACAUAGAUGUGUGUGUGUGUGUGUGUGUGUGUGUGUGUGCUGCUCUGUCCUCUCACAGAGAUGGGUGUGUGUGUGUGUGUGUGUGCUGCUCUGUCCUCUCACAUAGAUGUGUGUGUGUGUGUGUGUGUGUGUGUGCUGCUCUGUCCUCUCACAUAGAUGUGUGUGUGUGUGUGUGUGUGUGUGUGUGUGUGUGUGUGUGUGCUGCUCUGUCCUCUCACAGAGAUGUGUGUGUGUUCAUGCUGCUCUGUCCUCUCACAGAGAUGUGUGUGUGUGUGUGUGUGUGUGUGUGUGUGUGUGUGUGUGUGUGUGCUGCUCUGUCCUCUCACAGAGAUGUGUGUAUGUUCUGUCCUCUCACAGAGAUGUGUGUAUGUUCUGUCCUCUCACAGAGAUGUGUGUAUGUUCUGUCCUCUCACAGAGAUGUGUGUAUGUUUGUGGGUAUGUGGGCUAUUGUAAGAAUUGUCUGUGUGCAUGCUCCAUGUGAAUCCAAAGUGUGAGAUGGUAGUGUGUGUAUGUGUGUGUGUGUGUGUGUGUGUGUGUGUGUGUGUGUGUGUGUGUUUAUGCUUGUGUGUGUCUGUGUGUGUAUGUGCCAGAUGUCCCACUGACUGGCUGCAUUUCGAUGAGACAGAGGAGAAGAGAAGCUUUAGGGGAAGGAGCGCUGAAGAGUGGACCAGAGUUCA
rnacentral:lncRNA from 1 species